rnacentral:rRNA from 1 species
AUUGAACGCUGGCGGCAUGCCUUACACAUGCAAGUCGAACGGUAACGGGCCUUCGGGUGCCGACGAGUGGCGCACGGGGGAGUAAUACAUCGAAACGUGCCCGAUCGUGGGGGAUAACGAGGCGAAAGCUUUGCUAAUACCGCAUACGAUCUACGGAGGAAAGCAGGGGACCGCAAGGCCUUGCGCGGACGGAGCGGCCGAUGGCAGAUUAGGUAGUUGGUGGGAUAAAAGCUUACCAAGCCGACGAUCUGUAGCUGGUCUGAGAGGAUGAUCAGCCACACUGGGACUGAGACACGGCCCAGACUCCUACGGGAGGCAGCAGUGGGGAAUUUUGGACAAUGGGCGCAAGCCUGAUCCAGCCAUGCCGCGUGCAGGAUGAAGGCCUUCGGGUUGUAAACUGCUUUUGUACGGAACGAAAAGCCUUCUUUUAAUACAGGAGGGUCAUGACGGUACCGUAAGAAUAAGCACCGGCUAACUACGUG